rnacentral:rRNA from 1 species
UACGUAGGUGGCAAGCGUUGUCCGGAAUUACUGGGUGUAAAGCGCGUGUAGGCGGGAGGCCAAGUCUGCUGUGAAAUCGCUCGGCUCAACUGGGCGAGGUCGGUGGAAACUGGUCCCUGGAGGACGGUAGAGGCGAGUGGAAUUCCCGGUGUAGUGGUGAAAUGCGUAGAGAGUCGGAGAACACCAGUGGCGAAGGCGGCUCGCUGGGCCGGUCCUGACGCUGAGACGCGAAGGCGUGGGGAGCGAACGGG